rnacentral:rRNA from 1 species
UACGUAGGGUGCAAGCGUUAAUCGGAAUUACUGGGCGUAAAGCGUGCGCAGGCGGUUUUGUAAGACCGAUGUGAAAUCCCCGGGCUUAACCUGGGAACUGCAUUGGUGACUGCAAGGCUUGAGUGUGUCAGAGGGAGGUGGAAUUCCGCGUGUAGCAGUGAAAUGCGUAGAGAUGCGGAGGAACACCGAUGGCGAAGGCAGCCCCCUGGGCUAACACUGACGCUCAGGCACGAAAGCGUGGGGAGCAAACAGG